rnacentral:rRNA from 1 species
GAUGAACGCUGGCGGCGUGCCUAAUACAUGCAAGUCGAGCGAACAGACGAGGAGCUUGCUCCUCUGACGUUAGCGGAGGACGGGUGAGUAACACGUGGAUAACCUACCUAUAAGACUGGGAUAACUUCGGGAAACCGGAGCUAAUACCGGAUAAUAUAUUGAACCGCAUGGUUCAAUAGUGAAAGACGGUUUUGCUGUCACUUAUAGAUGGAUCCGCGCCGCAUUAGCUAGUUAGUAAGGUAACGGCUUACCAAGGCGACGAUGCGUAGCCGACCUGAGAGGGUGAUCGGCCACACUGGAACUGAGACACGGUCCAGACUCCUACGGGAGGCAGCAGUAGGGAAUCUUCCGCAAUGGGCGAAAGCCUGACGGAGCAACGCCGCGUGAGUGAUGAAGGUCUUCGGAUCGUAAAACUCUGUUAUUAGGGAAGAACAAAUGUGUAAGUAACUAUGCACGUCUUGACGGUACCUAAUCAGAAAGCCACGGCUAACUACGUG